rnacentral:rRNA from 1 species
AGUACGUGGACGUAGACCCGAAACCGGGUGAUCUACCCCUGUCCAGGGUGAAGGUGCGGUAACACGCACUGGAGGCCCGAACCCACGCACGUUGAAAAGUGCGGGGAUGAGGUGGGGGUAGCGGAGAAAUUCCAAUCGAACUCGGAGAUAGCUGGUUCUCCCCGAAAUAGCUUUAGGGCUAGCCUCGGAAAACAGAGUCGUGGAGGUAGAGCACUGAUUGGGUGCGGGGCCCGCAAGGGUUACCAAGCUCAGUCAAACUCCGAAUGCCAUAGACUUACUUCCGGGAGUCAGACAGUGAGUGCUAAGAUCCAUUGUCAAAAGGGAAACAGCCCAGACCAUCAGCUAAGGUCCCCAAGUGUGUGUUAAGUGGGAAAGGAUGUGGAGUUGCACAGACAACCAGGAUGUUGGCUUAGAAGCAGCCACCAUUGAAAGAGUGCGUAAUAGCUCACUGGUCGAGUGACUCUGCGCCGAAAAUGUAACGGGGCUAAACACACCACCGAAGCUAUGGCUUGAUG